UACGAAGGGGGCUAGCGUUGCUCGGAAUGACUGGGCGUAAAGGGCGCGUAGGCGGAUGUGACAGUCAGAUGUGAAAUUCCGGGCUCAACCUGGGGCUGCAUUUGAUACGUCAUGUCUUGAGUGGGGAAGAGGGUCGUGGAAUUCCCAGUGUAGAGGUGAAAUUCGUAGAUAUUGGGAAGAACACCGGUGGCGAAGGCGGCUCCUGGACCGACACUGACGCUGAGGCGCGAAAGCUAGGGGAGCAAACGGG
rnacentral:rRNA from 1 species